UUGCAAAAUCAUAAGGAUAUAAUACUGUAACAUAAUAUCACACUCAAGCACACCAUAAGACAUUUUAGGUGAAAUGUUCAAAUUAAAACUAUAAAUUAUUAUACCCAUAUUAUUACCCUACAAACUACACUCAAGCAGGACUUACUUCUGCACUUCUGCCAGACUCCUUAACUGCAUUUUGUUUACC